CAGAGCGCUCUGGAGGAUGGGGAAAGCGGUGUUCCCGUCGCCCUCCGCCCACUUAUCAUUGUCGGGGUGGAGGAGCUCUGGACAGAACCAGGAAACUUGAUGAGAGCAGACACUUACUCUGGAAGUCUUUGGUGAGCUCACUUAGCUUGGUGGAGCUGCUCCCUGGAGCUGCUUCCCCCCUGGUUUCCCAUCGUGCCCACGCAUAAAGGAAAGACCUCAAGAGGCACGGAAACCACGGAAAAGAUGCUUUGUUGUCUCCCAUACUUUGGAACUAAGUUUUGUAGCACAUUUGAUAUAAAGGCAGUUUAUCUCUCUGUGUGUGUGUGUGUGUGUGUGUGUGUGUGUGUGUGUGUGUGUGUGCGCGCGCAUUUGCAAGUGCUUAGGGCUAGGACCUGCAAGAAUGACACAGAAUGUCUUCUCAAUGUUGAAAUGACUGGUGACUUUUUUCAGCAUACAUAAAGCUCCACGGGUGAAGGACAGUAAGUCCACCUUCCCAACGCUGUAGCUGUGAAUAAAUAAUUCACAACCAUGUGAUUUUAAAAUCCUCUCUAGAAUAUCAAAAUAAAUCAUUAAAAGGGAACGUCUCUUGCAAUUAGCAGACUGACCUAACAACCACAGAUAACCAAUCUGAUUUUUCUCUCUGCCUUAACUAGAUUCUAAACUAAAUUGAUCUACUGUCUUCUAUUUACAGGAAGACGCCUAAACCAGCCUUGGGGUUAUGACUGCCUCUACAAACCAUCCUUCUUGGUCCUGUAUGGGAAGUACAGAGACACUUCCUAGAAUAAAUCAAUACCCAUAUCUAACACAUAUUUCAAAACAUGUUCCUUCCUAAUUUAUUUGAUGAAUUUUUUUUUCUUUUCUCAGAAGCAUGCUUCUCUCUCUUUCCACAUCUAUUUCAAAAAGCAAAGUAUCUUUCAGAAGCCUGGGAACAUAUUAAUUCUCAGUGCAUAGUUAGAAACUUCACAUUAAAGUUAAAAUAACUAUAGGAGUAAAGUCAAUGCAUUUUAGAAAGUCAGUUAAAAGGAGGUCGUCCACUUUAAGUACUAAUAAAAAUAAAUCCUUCUAGAAAAGGCUGCACCUGGAUCUAGGAUUCUUGGGACAGGUAAGGAAGAGUCCACACAGAGUGAGAUUUCAGGCAUUAAGCUUCCCAUUAGACAUCCCCCAGGGAAGGCUUCUGGAGUGGUGUUCUCCAGGGUUUAAAGUGGCUAAGCAUCUCCAAAAGGCUUCAAAACACUGACUCUCUGCAGCACAGGUGAGCUGCUCCCUUGGUGCGUCUGCAGUGAAGGCUGAGAUGCUGCCUUUCUUGGUCUGCAGAUGCAGCUGGCACCUCUGCCUUGAAGAUGAAGACCUGACCAACAAAGGGACCAUCUCCAGGACCUGCAAGAGGCCUGCAGUGCCCCUUGGGGCUGUCAGGGCUGGGGAUCCUGCCCGGAGUCACCCUCCUGAGUCGGGUGACAUCUGGAGGGAGGACCUUGAUCUUCUCCCUGACUCCCUGGUCACCAAAGGAGGGUUCCCUCCAGAUCUAGCUUCCUCUCUACCUCUGUCCUCCCACAGUGGCUGCCUCAAGAAGCCCCGUCCCAGUUCCCCUUGAGAAGAGCUGUGAUCCAGGGCUUCCAGAGUUGACUUGCUCUUGAAUUCCAGUUCCAUCUGCUACUAGUUCUAUGAGCUCCAGCAAGCCAGAACACGCGAGGCUGGAGCGACACAGAAGGGGAUUCGUGCAAAUCACAUGUGUUCCGUUUUGCCAAAAGAAGAGACCCCCUGAGACUUCUAUCACAAGUCUGGCUCUGGGAUCAGUUUAACAACCCGCUUUGAAUGCAUAUGAGUCCUGACUGCUAAAUUUGCAAAUGCUUCCACAUAAAGGUUAUGCACCUACUGUAAAUGUGGCAUCUAUUCAGAAGAUAGCCAUAUUGGUUGCUAGGAGAUGGAGGGAUCCUCUCAGAGAAAAAUCAGUCCUGACAAAAAAAAUUUUUUUUUUUUACAUAAAGACCUUUUAAAUAUAAAUACCUUUGACAGCAGCUAUUAUUAUUCACUGAGUUCCUUCACAUCUGAAUAAAUGGCAGAAAAAUGAUGAUAUUAUUCAUAUGCCAUUAUACACUAAA